AACACUGUUAACCUGCGGUACCUGCGGAGGGAUCAUUACCGAGUUUACAACUCCCAAACCCCUGUGAACAUACCUAUACGUUGCCUCGGCGGAUCAGCCCGCGCCCCGUAAAAAGGGACGGCCCGCCCGAGGACCCCUAAACUCUGUUUUUAGUGGAACUUCUGAGUAAAACAAACAAAUAAAUCAAAACUUUUAGCAACGGAUCU
rnacentral:misc_RNA from 1 species